UAUCUUUACUUUUAGAUCCCUUUCUUGAUCCGCAAGUGGCCAGUUCCUUUUGCCUCCUGCUAGGAGAUUACCAGGCGAAAAUGUCAAAGCCAACAGAGCAUCACAGGACUAUGAUCCGCUUCCUUCAUCUUCAGAUGGUUCACAAGCACCAGCCAGACCUCCUAAACCACGACCCCGCAGGACUGCACCAGAAGUCCACCACAGAAAACCCCAUGGGCCCGAGGCAGCAUUGGAAAAUGUUGAUGCGAAAAUUGCAAAACUCAUGGGAGAGGGUUAUGCCUUUGAAGAAGUGAAGAGAGCCUUAGAGAUAGCUCAGAAUAACGUCGAAGUGGCGCGUAGCAUCCUCCGAGAAUUUGCCUUCCCGCCUCCAGUCUCUCCACGUCUAAAUCUAUAGCAGCCAAGACUGUCAACACCAAAAUGGCAGGCAUUCGAUAUUCCAGGAUCAUGGAAAAGAGACAAGUGAGAGAAGGUGUCUCCUCGUGUGGCAUCUCGAGAAGAGGCUUGGAAGUGCUGCUUCUCAGAAGACAGCUGCUUGCUCAGGAUGUCAACAGCUGUGCUUAUUUCUGCUAGCCAUACUUUUAAAUCAGGGUUGAACUGACAAAAAUAAUUUAAAGACGUUUACUUCCCUUGAACUUUGAGUCUGUGAAAUGCUUUUCCUUGUUUACAAGUUGGCCAAGUUGCAGUUUGUUUUUGUUUUUAGAUUCGUUUUAGGGUUUUUGUUUUUUUGAUACCUGUACUGUGUUCUUUACAGACCCUUGGUAGAGUGGUCAGGUCUGCUGUAACAUCUCCCACCAACUCCCUCACUGUCCACAUCAACAGCUAAGUCACAUGUUCAUUUUGAUCUCUCCCACCCCGCCCCGUCCCCACUCCUGCCCAGGUCCAGUUCCAUUUCUCCCAUUUACAAGAUGCUUUAAAGGUUCUGAUUUUCAAUGUGUCAAACUAAUGCAAAAAAAAAAAAAAAAGUGUGUGGCCUUCACUACUGAGUCUUUUCUUUGGAAACCUUUGCUGUUGUGAGAUGGGAAAAUUAUGAAUGUAUAAAGCAUUUUUUUGUCAAUGAACUAACUGCCUUUUGAUAAGGGGUUUUCAUAUGAUCUAAAGGAACAUCCCUUUUUAGUGUAAGUUUUUUGAUCUUUAACCUCCCAUAUUCUCAUCUUUGCCAUCCCAGGGGUGUCACUACUCUGUAAAAAUAUAAAAUAUUAGAAAGCAACUACUGCAGAUGUGGGAGAAAUACACUUGCACAUGACAAUGCCGUACUGAAGUUAUAUAAUGAGGUCCCCUGACAUUUAUGCCUGCAUUACUUUGAGGCAUGCUGAGUAAGAGGGCCGUCUCCCUGAAAUAUAUUAAUAAUUUUCAGAUAAAAUUACCAUACCUUUCCCGAAGUGGAAUAGAGUUCAUUUCCUGUUUGAGUGAUUAUACUCUGGUACCUAACAGGUUUAGGAACCAGUUCACAUUGCAGUGGAAAAGUUAAAUCUUUGAUGCACUGUUAAGUGCCAAUGCUACUGUGGCAAUGUUUUUUUUUUUUUUUCCUUUGGCAAAAUCUCUGCAAUCAAAUUAAAGUUCAUAUUUGAUUUGUAGAUUCUCAUUGCUCCAUCCAGUCAGGGGAAAGAAAUUCAUCUAGUUUUGCUUUUUUUUCUCCCCCAAAAUGGAGGUUGGUUCUUCAGAAACAUUAUUUUAAUCUGCAAAUAUUUAUUGAGCAUCUAUGAUGUGCUUGAUGCCAUUAAGCACUAUGUUUUUAAAGCACAAACUCGCAACUGAUUCCAAUAUAAUGUUUUGUUAUUCUUUAUCUGUGCUUUUGGUGGUAAAAGUCUCUCUCUGAAGGACAAAGCCUAAUGAGUAGUGGAGAAAUGGGACAAAAAAUAGGCCUGUGUAAAAUGCUUGAACCCACAGAAGGUUCCCUAAAUAUGGACUAAUUGCGGGUUUGUGCAUGUUUCUACCAUUCCCUCUCUAAACUUCACACCCAGUGUGAUGUAAUAGGAUGCAUCUGAUUGAGAGCUUCAGGCUUUGAAAGGACAGGACCAAACAGCUAGCAGGACCCCAGGGAAGUCCAUGUUCAGGACUGGAACAGCCACCAGGUUAACCUGGGGAGGUGAACUAAUGCAUUGUUUUCAAAGCGGCAUGUGCCACAUGUCCUUAUUCGUCAAUUUGGCUCUCACGAUGGGAGGUACUUGAGAGGAGUCACAGGUCUUGGGUGUUUUAAUUUCAAGUGAUUCUGCACUGGUUAAUGUCACUGGAGAGGAAUUUUUACUUUUCCUUAGAUGUUCUUCCUCCAGGUGGAGGAGUGCAGUUUUUAUACUUUUAAAAAAUUGCAUCAGCUAAUUCUUCAUUGAUUUAUGAACUCUGCAUAUAUCAUGAUUAUUCACUUUUUGUUUAACCAGUCUCUGAUGUCACAUUGAAAUAGCACUGUAUAUUUUGUUUUUUUAUGACUUGCUGAUCAUAGGUACAACUAAAAGCCAAAAGUUGCCACUUCAUUGUGAUAACAUUGUUAUAACUUUAAUAGGGAAUGAGAUAAAAUACAAAUGUUAGGAAACAUAGUACAUCUUCAAUUUUCAAAUAUGUGAAAUUUUCCAGUGAGAGUUAGAAAAAGACUGGUGAUACAGUAAAUUUAGACUUUUUAAAUCUAUUUUGCAAAGAAAAUGUGCUAGCCCCCACUAAAAUCUCUGCAUCUUGUACCCAAUAGUAGCCAUCAGUUUUAUCAUGAAAAAGAAUGAAUCAAAAACCUGAGUGGAAUGGAAAGAGGGAAACUUUCAGUCAUGAAAAGCCCACUGCUACCUAUUACCAACGACUACCAAACUAAAAAAAAAAAUAUAUUUUUUGUAGAAAUAAACCUAAAUACUUUAAUCAUAGAAGUGACUACCCAUUAAGGGUUGGAAAUGAAGGUGACUUGGUUUCACUGUGAUCCAGAAAGUUAGACAUUCCUCCCAUUUCUCAAGACUUAGUAAUACAAUUAUUUUUUGAGCCAGUACACCAUAUAAUCCAUAUACUUAAAUCAUGGCCAAUAUUGCUCUCCUUCAUCCCCCAUGUUCUGGGGAUAGAAGUACUUAUCCUCAAUGAUAACCCAGUAAAUUAGUCUCCAUAAUUUUUUUCCCCUUGAUGUCUGCAAUACCCUGGCCAAAUUUUCUACAAUUGAAUCAGAGUAGUGCGUAUGGUUAACUUGAACCUCCUUCCACAAAAUGACCUUUAGCUCUUGCCUGUUCACCUCCCAUCGCCCGCAUUGCAAAUAGUCUUACUAAAGCCCUAAUUGCAACUUUAAAGGGUCCAUUUGUUAACUCAUUUCACACACAAGAACACUUGCAAAGAUUUCUUCAUAAUGUGAAUUUUUUUUCUUUUUCAGUUCCAUAAGCAUUUCCUACAGUUGGGACAUUUAUUUUUCCUCUUGAAUUUUCAACUUGAAGCUUUAAUUUGCACUGAAUUAUCUACCCUGGUUAAAAAUUUCAUUUUCUUCUCUUAAGCUGACACAUUUGGAAGCAAAUUACAGUGUGUUUUCAACAAUACAGGUACUGCCUGUUGACCUGGAAUUUUAGUGCUUCUAGGAAAAGUUGCCAGAAAAAGACAGCAAUAGAGUGAAGGGUUUCUUCCCAGUUACUAUUUUUUUUAAUGCCUUUUUAAAACUUGUCUAAUGUGGCAAAAUAGUUAUGUGUUCAAUUAAUUUAUAUUCAUCUUUUUUCAAUUCUGGUUAUUAUGUAAACUCAAGUACUUUAUCUGUUCUUUUAAGGUAUUUUAUAAAAUGAAUCUUAACAAAACGCAGAGUUGGUAUAUAUUUUUCUAAUGAACACAAACAUUUCUUUCACAGCAUUUCUAUGUUUUCUUUGUGUUAAACAAAAGACAUUGGAUUCAAAAGUUAACUGGACAAAAU
rnacentral:lncRNA from 1 species